AAGAGAUGGGGUAAUCCUGUGU
rnacentral:misc_RNA from 1 species